GCCAUUCUUUUCUUAGGGUUGCGCUACUACCCAAUAAGCGUGUAGUGAGAGCCGACCUGCUAACAGCUAAGCAACACGCUCCCAUCAACCAGAGCUCUGCUUUACUUUGGUGCAAUUUUUGGAAAA
ensembl:snRNA U4atac minor spliceosomal RNA